UGCAAUCUGGUUGCCUGUGAUGUAUUUUUUAAUAACUUGGGUAUCUGCGAACUAUCCUCCUGGGCAUGGUGUUUUUUUGUUGUUUAUUUGCUUGCUUGUUUGUUGUUGCUGUUUAGUUUUCCCCAGCUAUUUUCAAAUUAAUGUUCUUUUAGGAUGCUGAUCCUUAGUGAUAUUUUUCCAAGCGAGAUUCCAGAGAAACGUAACAUAUUCAUGGAGGCAAACAUUCUUACUUUAAACUUCUCAGAAUUUUUGGAGUUCCUAGAAAUUCAAGAUACCUAACACUGUAAAGGAAUCCAUAUGAAAUUGAAAUGGAAUUGACAUUGCAAGGCAGAUCUGGAGGCACAAGGAGUAGGAGAAUGGAAGGAAGCUGAAUUUAUUCAUGGACAAUUGAUUCCUCCUGACAUCUUCAAAUGGCUGAAUCUGUUCGGUAUUAAAGCCCUCCUGUAUUGCUGGAGUAAGGAAAAGAAACCAGCACCUCUACGUGCGGUAUGUGUGAUACUUCCACCUGUGAUACCUCACCUGAACCUAUCUUGCAAUGUAACUGUAGUGACUCCAGUUAAAUCAACGAGAAAAUGACUGAGCUUAACUUUGAGGCAAUUGGACUCAUUUCAGCAGUGGUGAAGCUCAAGAACGUCCAGGCUGGUAUUAAAAUAGCCAUGCCUCUACCAUUACUAUGUAUACAGCAGCAAAAGAAUUUCAGGGUACAACAAAAAAUCCCCUUCAGUUUGAUGUCAGAAAUGAGAUUGCUGCUCACUGACAGAAAUGACUGCACUGGAAUUGGAGGGGAGACCCAAGAUGACACCAUCAUGAGAGAAUGCUGAAUGUAGCAGAGGAAUAUGAAACUAAGCAAUGAUUCAGCAAAGAAGGGCGAAAAUCAUCCUUGUUCCCCACAAGAAUUUAUGAUCAGUCACUGUUCAAUACUUGGAGUUCAUGUGAAUGCAUUCUGGGCCUUUCACAAUAUUUGUGUGACAUCUGGACCAAUUCAGUUUUUAAGUUCAAAGAAAGAAGAAUUCACAAGUGUGUUCAAUUUCCCUAUGAACUCCACAGAGAAGAGAAAUGACAUUUACACUUCAUUUCAUAUCUUUAUUACUGUCGCAAGGAUAAGUACACAGUUCUGUCUGUCAUUUUGUGUUGAAGGAAUUAAAGGAGAAGCAAACUUAUUCCUCUUGACCAUAAUUUAUAAGAAUGUGAAAGUCAUGAUCAGUGUGGCCACAUAAUUUUCCUCUUUCCUUUUGCCAUGCUGAAACAUCUUUCCUUGAAUGUUUGGCUUCUGUGGUUUGGGAGAAGUAUAGAGUAAGGAGAAGAAUAUUAAAGAGGGAGAUUCUCCUCCAUGGCACAGUCUCUUUGGAAUUUUUCAACAAACCCAAAUAUUCCCAUAACGUUUUCUAAUAAAAGAUGGAAGUCUUUAACAUAAACCACCUCUCUGCCACUGAAUUUGCAAAUUCGUUAUUUAUUAAAAAUUACAGUUGUGUGACAUGCAGUGCUACAAUGAACUGAGGCUGGACACUAUUUUCUGGCCUAUCCAGAUCUCUGAUUUCAUCUGUUUUUUUCACCUGUCCCUUCAUAAGUCUGUUAAAGAG
ensembl:lncRNA